UAGGGAAUCUUCGGCAAUGGACGGAAGUCUGACCGAGCAACGCCGCGUGAGUGAAGAAGGUUUUCGGAUCGUAAAGCUCUGUUGUAAGAGAAGAACGAGUGUGAGAGUGGAAAGUUCACACUGUGACGGUAUCUUACCAGAAAGGGACGGCUAACUACGUGCCAGCAGCCGCGGUAAUACGUAGGUCCCGAGCGUUGUCCGGAUUUAUUGGGCGUAAAGCGAGCGCAGGCGGUUAGAUAAGUCUGAAGUUAAAGGCUGUGGCUUAACCAUAGUAGGCUUUGGAAACUGUUUAACUUGAGUGCAAGAGGGGAGAGUGGAAUUCCAUGUGUAGCGGUGAAAUGCGUAGAUAUAUGGAGGAACACCGGUGGCAAAAGCGGCUCUCUGGCUUGUAACUGACGCUGAGGCUCGAAAGCGUGGGGAGCAAACAGGAUUAGAUACCCUGGUAGUCCACGCUGUAAACGAUGAGUGCUAGGUGUUAGACCCUUUCCGGGGUUUAGUGCCGUAGCUAACGCAUUAAGCACUCCGCCUGGGGAGUACGACCGCAAGGUUG
rnacentral:rRNA from 1 species